CCCUUAGACGUUCUGGGCCGCACGCGCGCUACACUGACUAGUCCAACGAGUGUUUGUACCUUUGCUGAUAGGCAUGGGCAAUCUCUGAACGCUAGUCGUGAUAGGGAUCGAUUUUUGGAAUUAUUAAUCGUCAACGAGGAAUUCCUAGUAAACGCGAGUCAUCAGCUCGCAUUGAUUACGUCCCUGCCCUUUGUACACACCGCCCGUCGCACCUACCGAUUGAAUGGUCCGGUGAAGCCUCCGGAUUGGACGGCCUGGCCCUGCCAGCCGGCCGAGAAGUUGGCUAAAUCUUACCAUUUAGAGGAAGGUGAANUCGUANCA
rnacentral:rRNA from 1 species